CAAUGAACGAUCAACGAUCUCGAAUAGGUAUUCCCUCGUGUGAUGUUUACUUUUUAAAUAGGUGAUUACUUUUUUAUUAAAUAGUUGAGAACGUUUUCAUACGAAGAUAAAACAUAAAAUAGUGUGUGCAAAUGCGUUAAACGCAGUACUGCUUUUGAAGAUUUAGAAAAUAAAAAAUAAAAGGCAUAGAAGGUGGAGGUUUGAACCUCAUUUGUAGCAUGAGAUUAGACUUGAUUUUGGUGCUUAUCACACCAUUUUUCAUUAUUUUAAAAUAAAUAAUCAUGAAGAUUUUUAUAAAUUUGUGCGCGUGAAUGUUGAUCAAUGCAACAUUUUAUGUUAUUUAUCUCGGCUUGGCGUCUUCUCCGCUUUACUUAAAUCACGGAGUAGUUAGAGAAGUAUAGAAGUCCGACUACCCUUAUGAUCUCGAAGAGCGCGAGCGCACGGAACACGGUACCGAUUUACCGAUACCCAGGCCAUUGUCUAUAGCUACCGGACACCAUAUUACAAGUCUCUUCUCAGCAGCGGCAGAUUCCAUAUAUUAUCCCUCGCCCUUACAAGUUCCAAGCCAUACCAAGAUGCGAAGAUUGCGAAGGCCCAGCAUGUACUACUACUUCAAAUUAUUGAAUGGGGAUUACUUUGCAAGACAUACAAACUCAGAACCGUAUCGGGACAAAGGCGUCAAAAGCUAUGAUCAUACGCUGCAUCAAGCUCUCAGCGAGAUCUUCCGCGAGCGCUGCAGUCUCAACAGCGAUCAGGACAAAGGAACUUCUUGAAGAUCAAGAUUCCAUAAGCAAACUAAUACCGGAGAAAAACCCGACGAGAAGAACGACUCUCGCUCCUGUGGAUCGCAUUAUUGGGCUAUUAUCGAACUUCAGCCGAACUGCUCGUACGCUCAGGUGCCGACGUCAACGAGCGCUGCUUUCAUCGUGAACAUGAUUGGAAAUUGACGGAAUGGACCAUUCUUCAGCUGGCGGUGCUGAUGUACCCCUCCAUGUGGAACGUACGAUUCAUUGGUCUGGUAACGGAGCAUCGCGCUGACUUGCAAGUUCCGAACUCCGACAAUGAAACCGUCCUAUAGAUAUUGCGAUGCGGCAAAACCGAGUCCGGGUCGCCAAGAGCUGCUUCUUGAAAAAAAGGAGCCGUCGUUACUACCACCGGCGCUUCCAAAUUUCCACCUCUGCUCAAGGCAGUUUGCUAUAGCGCCAAAGCUGAAAAAAUUGUGCCGUUGUUAUAAUUAAAUACGGAGCCGUUGUUACAGUUAGAAAUUAUAAUGGACAUAACGCCUUGCACUACUUAUCAAAUGCACCUGUGAAACACGCCCAUCUAGUGGCCAGAGUCUUGCUCGAGAAGGACGCCUCGCCGCUCCACGACAGAACACAUAUAGUUUAAAACUGCAGCCGCUGCACGAGGCUGCCUUCAAUGGGAACAAUGAAUUGGUAGAGCUAUUUUUGGACUACGGCGCGAACGUGAAUGCACAAGAUGAGUAACGGUAGCACCGCAUUGCACGAAGCCUGCGACAAGCAUUGUUUUUUUUCCACGAAAGACAAUAGGAAGAACAUCGAAAUACUUUAGUCCGUAGGCAUGGAUAUAUUCGUCAAGACGGCUCUCGCUACACUCAUCCGAUAUGCUCGCUUUCACAAAAGAUCAGUUAAAGAAGAUUGAAGCAUUAGCCUGACGCUCCAAACCCUGGCGCUGAGAAAAGCUUGCCUGCCGCACCCGUCGAUCGAAUUGAAAGACGAAAAGAUUAUCGAGCGGUAUCCGCUGCUAUGGGCCUGUUAUCAUGACUGCAUCAGUCACAUAUGUAAGAUAAAAUCCAUGAGGGUUAAUCCAUACCUGCACAAUGUUCGAUCUCUUGACGAAAUUCGCCGCUUCUGCGCAACGGCGAAUUCGAAAAAACAUUCAGGAUGUUCGAUCUCGAAGUAUUCUCCACUGCGUAUGAAGAAGACAGUGAUCAACGAAGCUGUUCAUUAUAAUUUGCCUUGGAUGUUCGUGGAGAAAGUGGCUCGUUACACAGUUGACUGUAAAGAACGCGAAUUAAAAAAAAUUGUAAAGAGCCAUCGUGGUUCAGACGGCUGAGCGUCAUAGCCGACACCACUGAAAGUUUUAAACUUUAUUUACAUAUGCCCUAUAUCACCAUCAUCACGACGGUUCGGAAUUUAUUCGAAGACGAAGUAAGUUGACUGCAGUAUAGUGGCGGCCUCUGACCAAUCUACGCGUUUCUGCCAAAAAUAAAAAAUAAACCAAUCAAUACAAAAUAUUACACAGAAAUACAACAGAAAGAAAGAAAGAAAACAUUGUACGCGCGUCUCAAAAAGUAUGCUUACAAUACAUAAAUCUGUAGCAGUAUCCUUAAAGAAAAAAUAAACAGCAUUUCACAUUUUCUACUGCUAAAUAAAUUCAAUAAAUGUGGAUGCAAAAGGUUUUUAUGGAUGAAAAGUAAUAAUAAUCGAAUUUUAUUUGUAUCGAUAACAAAAAUAUAGUAAAGAAUUCGUA